rnacentral:lncRNA from 1 species
UACGGGGAGACCUAAAUCGUGACUCAAUUUGCCCUUUUAUAGAGGGAAUACAAGCGUGCUAAGGCUUAGAAAAAGCCACACUCGUCUAUAUCCCAUAUUUAAGGGGACCCUCAAGCAGAUGAACCCUAUAACUAGCAUGAAAUGCAAAAAUCCUAAAAUGGAGGGAAAAGGGGUUCGAGGGGCAUGCAAAAUGAUAAAAUUAAAAAAAAUGCAUGACAUGUAAUGAACAUGCAAACAUGUACUAACGAGGGGAAGUCCCUAAGGGUCUAGCGUUGGACUAGCCCAUUCUAUGAAUUCCGACUAGCGUUGGACUAGUGGAAACGUACAUUCAUCCAUCACAUUCAUUUAUAAAUAUAGAAAGCAAGUAGACAUGCAAAAUCACUUAUAACACGUAGCACAUAACACUUAGCAUGCUCGACUAGAUGCAAUAGCUUAAUAAAGCAAAUUAAACACAUAGCAAACCAAAUAAUACCCCAAAAGCAAAUGAAACUAUUACAUGGGCUAACUAAAACAAAUGGGGGAAGGGGGAAAAAUGGACAAAGUGCUCUCCAAUGCCCUAUCUAUUACAAGCCAAGAGGUGUACACAUACCCCAUAAAUAAAAUAAAAGAAAGACUUAAAAAUGAAAGGAAUUAAAGAAAACUUAAGAAAGCCAAGUAGACAUGCAAUUCACGUAACACGUAGGAGCACGUAAGAGAGAAGUAAAGAGGAUAAAAGAAAGUUAUACCUUCCCCUAAUGGUAAGCAAAUGAAGGAAAAUGGCUUCAAAACAAUAAAGGGGUCAAGGCAUCAAUUUAAAAGUAAAGUAUAAGCAAAAACAUCAAAAACCACCUAAUUGCAACUUGAAUGAGCUCAAAAAAUGCUUAAAGACCAAGAAAACGGAAUAACCCGUUCAAUUUCCAAAUAUAGCAUCUACUAAAGACCCAAAACAAGCAUUACUCGAACAUUCAAGUCCAAAUAAAUUGUUUAAGCACUUCAAAGAUCUUAAAAAUAAAGGAAAAGUCAAACAAAGAUUGAAGUUGCAAUGAUUUUAGGACUUAAUUACAAGAUACUAGAACAUGCUUGGGCUCUUGUGGAACAAAAAGAAACUUAAAAGGAUCAAAUUGAUUAAAUGUUCCAAUUACUUGGGCCCUAGUGAGUCAAGAGGGGACUUGGGGGGUUAAAAAUGUAAUUUUCAGAAAUUAUUUCAUGCAAAACCCAUGCAAGCUACGUGAAAAUCAACAUGAGAAACAACAUUCUGCAGCAGAAAUUUCUGCUGAAAGCUUUCGGCAACCCAGAAGACAACCGUGACUUUCAUUUUCUCAACCUUAACACCAUUUUGAUCGAAAAAUCUUCUAACCAACACAUUAAAGCAUGAAUCUAACAACCAAACAAACAGGUAAAUCAAAUUCAAAGUGAGUUUCUGCAAUAUUUUCUCUCAUGUUUGCUCAAACGAAACCCAAUUCAAACUCACAUCUUAUUUUCCAAAAAAAAACAGAUCUCAAGCUCACAUACAUAGCUUUAACUAAGCUGCAAACUAUGUCAUCACCAUCGCCUCAACAGGUAGAAAAUUUAGAAGGAAAAAACAUGCAAGUUCUAUGCAAUAGCCAUGAAACAAGUUUCUGCAAUUACUUCACAUACUCUAGCAACCGAAGACUGCUGCACUUUCUUCUCAAGCUCAAGCUUCUUAAUCACAACCGUGAUCAAAUUUUCCAAACCAACCAAUUUCAUUCAGACCCAACAAACAGAAAACUUAGCAACUUUAUUCAAACAAACAGAAAAAUUAGCAACUUCAUUCAAACAGAAAAAUUAGCAAAACAUCAAAGGUUUGAAACUUCAGCAAACAAAUCUUUUGAGCUUAGGCAGUUCGCAUGGAAGCUGCACUCAAGCAUUUCGAAUCACAAACCCAUGCUCAAAAUCCUGUUAAGCUUCUCAUGCAUACAAACUACAACUUUCGGUCAAGGCUGGAAUUACUAUCUAACAAAAACAGCAAAGUUUGGAACCGCAAUGGAAGAAAAUAGCAAGACACAACCGUAAAUUUCUGGUGCAGCAAAAAAUGAAUAUGCAUUUUCCAGCAGGUAGUUGGUCUUAAAUCCGAAUUUACCUCGGUUGAAUCAUUGUGCUAAGUACUCAAAACUAACAUGCAAGGCUACUUAAUGAAAUUACUAUCAUAACUAGUUCAAAUCAAGUUCGGUCAGCAACUAUAAUCAUCCACAAUUCCAGAAAUUCUGUUCACCACCCUCGGAUGAACUUGCAUGUAGCAGUUUUCUGUUUCAUAUUUUUUCCUUGCUUAGCCGAACUAAUGAACUUCAUGCAAAGCUUAAUCACCUACUUCUUAGCUAGUUAAUCACAUUUAUAAGCUCAGCCUGCCUCAGGGGAACGAAAUUAAAAUUGCAUUUCCAUUUCAGCUUCUCGGCAAAGCUGGAAAAUUAGUUUAGCAGUCUAAUACUUCCAAUAAAAAAAAAUCCAGCCAUGCAACCGAAAUCCUGCCCAUAACGUUCACAUGCAGUACCAAAUAAAGAACUAUUUAGCAGGUUGAGUUCAAAAUUAAGCUCAGAUCAUCACAACUAGCAAAUUAAAAAAAAACCGAAACUUCCAGCUCAAGCUCUCGGCAGCUUCACUUCCUUCUCAAACAGAUUUUUCUGUGACUUAAACUAUCAUCUAGCCACACAAUCUCACAUGCAUGCUUAUAAACAACUUCAUCAAGCCAUAAUCAACUAGCUUAAGUCCAGAAAUUACCUCAGCUUAAGGCUCAAAUCACGCAACUAGCAGCUGCAAAAAUCCUCUACUCUCGGCUGUCCAGAAUUUCAGUCCGCAACUCUCCUUCUCCCUUGCUCUAGCUUGCGACCAGUAUGAAGACAAUAUGGCUCCCAAUCUCUUUCUAGUUUACAGACGAAAGGAAAUGGAUGAAAAGCUCACACGGACAGCAGCUGCAAUUUUUCCUCUCGGCAGCUCACGCACGCGAGGAUGGUUAGUCUGAAUUCAGUGGUUGCAGCUGUAAUGGUUGUGACUGAAUUGAUCACGGCUAGUUGAGGGUGAAAAAUGGAAUGGCAGCUCCCUCUCCCUCGCUGGUUUCCUCACUUCGAUGAUUCCAAGGUAGAGGGUGUUGUUGUAGCUCACCGAAAGCUCACUCAGACGACAGAAAGCUGAUGUUUCUCUCCUCUCUGCUCGCUCGCGGUUGGAUGUGUUGGUCCUGGUUGCGGAUGGUUGAAGCUGUGGUGUUUCGAUUGGAACUGGUGAAGAUGGUGAUGAUCAGUAGCUCACUCGACUGCCUCUUGCUCUCUCUCUCGCUUGACUUCCUCGGACAGAACAGAAAUACAGCUCGCGGCUCGCUCUCUCUUCACCUUUCUCCUGCUCAAUCCGAGGAGUUCUCCCUCUCUUGCUCUCGUCGAUGAUCACGAGGUGGAGAAUGGAGAUGGAGUGUUUGUGGUUGAGGCUGAGGUAGUGGAGUGAUUCGCGGUAGUGGAGGUUGAGUGUGUGUGUCGAGGGAAGGGAAUGCACUCCGGCAGAGAUGGAAAUGUUAUUUUUAUUUUUAUUUUUUAAUUAAUUAAUUAAACAACAAAAAUGAUAAUAAUAAAACAAUAAUAAUUAAUGAUGAAAACAACUUAAUUAACAUUAGAUAAAAAUAAACUAAAAACAACAAAAAAUGCAAAUUUCCAUUUUUCAUUUUCAUUUUUCACUUUUCUUUUGUUUUCGAAAUAACCUAACCAAAAAAUAAAUAAAGUCAAAAGAUUGAAUUUAAAAAGAAAUAAACCUAUUUUGUGAACAAUUUUCCUUUUUCUCUUUUUUCAUGAUUUUUCUACGCUAAAACUUAAAAAUAAAAAUAGAAACUAGAAACUAAAAAAAACUAAAAGCAACCACGAUAAAUGAGAAUAAAAAGUAAAAGAAAUUACACCAAAAAUUUGGUGUCUACAAUAUAUAAAAUGAUAUUAUCAAUUAUACUACUAAUUAUACAUGUUUAUUAAUAAAAUUUAUUAAUUAUUUAUACUAAAUUUGUUAAUACAUUUAUGUUAAAUUUCUAACUACACUUAAUGCAAUAACACUUUUUUCUAAAAAAAACACAAGAAUAAUUUAGUGAUUGUAUUUGUAUCAAAGUGAAAAUUUGAUUAUUUUAGUUAUAUUUGUUUUAUCAUAUUAGAUUGUAUUCAAAUAACCUUUGUUUAAUUAUUUUUAUGAGUUUUAAUUGUGAAGUUAGAAUGAAUAAUAAUUUGAUAAUGUGUUGAUAUUUUAGUACUUGAUUAUUUGCUUUAAUUUAAUUAUAAUGAAAUUAUAUAAUAAUUUUUUUUUAAUCUCACGGGUGUCCUGCGGAAAAAACGGGUAGAAUAGGACGGGAGCGGGGGCGGGGAAAUUAAAAGGGUUAAUUACAUUUAUCUCCCCUGAGGUAUAACCAAACUACCAGUCAAACCCUGAGGUUUGGUCAAAUAACAAAUAAACCCCUAUCACUAACUUCUGUUAAAUGUCCGUGACGGAAUGAGUAAAAUGACUACAUACCCAAAAUAGUUGAAACUGCCUGUCUUACAAACAUCGUGUACCUUCUUUUCUUUGUUUUUUUUUUUUUUUCCAAUUUUCUGGAACCCUUAAAGGUGACAACAAUGGCAGCAGGAAUGUUUGGGCUGCUGUUGCUGCAUCCAUCAUCAGCCAUAUGCGCCUGCCACCGUCGCCAAUCGUCGACUCCAGCCUCUUCAUCUUUCUUUUGUGUGGGUUGCCAUUCUUGAUACAAACUCAACCAAAACUCACUGCAUAACUGUUCAAAUAGGCCUACAUGUGAGGCUGAUCUGUCUUGCCUUUCCCAUCGGAAGCAAAGACCAAAUUCCACACUUUUGCAGUAAAGCACUUCUCAUUGGGGUAGAACACGAACAAGUCAAAUGAAUCAAUGUUGGCUACUUCCAUCUUUUGGACAGCAAGUUUUAACCUCAAAAUUGAAAAAAAAAAAGAAAAAAAAAAUUUAAAAAAUUGCAAGUGAAGAUUAAUCACCGGCUACUCCAUUACCUUCUUCAAAAACCCAUUUGGUAUCACUCACCAAAUUUAACACGAGCCUUUUUCCUAUCCCUUACCAAAUUUAAGACAAGCCUUUCAAAUGAUAUGAAGGACAAACUUCCAAAUCUCAACUUACAAAAAACUGGAAAAAAACAAAAAUUCCAUAUCUAGUAGCCAAGACAUUUUGAAGAUAAUAGUUUCACUUGUGUAUCUAAGCAAUACCAAAUGAUUUCUCUAGACAUGGUCUACCAAUUCUGGUGCAAAUCCAGCACUAUAAUGUCUGUAUCUUCAUAUGUUCGUAAUGGCUUAACCAAAGAAGAAAUAAAAAAUUGGAUGGAAGAGGAAAAGGUAACGACUUUGGUUUAGAAAGAUGGAUGAGGAGGAGAAAAGAUGGAAGAAUUAGAAUAUGUGAUAGAAUUGACGGCAAAGAAGGGUUAAUGGUUGGAAGCAAUUUAACAUACAAUUUUGGUGGAGAUGCAGACGCUGAAGUUGCAGACUUGAAAGGGAGUCUACCACACUACUUUUUUUCCCUUUUCUUUUUAUUAUUUUGAGGUGAAUUCUUAUUUUAUUCAAUUUGUUGGUUUAUAUUUUUUUUAUGUAAAACAUAAAAUGCCUCUAGAAGGGCAUUUUGGGAUUGCCGCGCUAAUUUUUUGCUAACCUUACCAGCUUCACUAACGACUCCAGACGGUAGGGAUGCUUUUGAUAAAGUUUUGCCUAGUCAGAGGGUUUGAUUGUUAUUUUGUCAAACCUCAAGAUUUGAUUGGUAAUUUGGUCAAAUCUCGGGGAGGUAAAUGUAAUUAACCCAAAUUAAAAUGCAACGGGGCGGGGGUUGGGGGCCGUGUCCCCCGCCCCAUUGCCACCCAUAUCUAAUACCCGCAAGAAAACUUCAAGAAAACCUCUGCAGAUGAAGCUGCAAUGAAGCAUCAAGCCAGGAGAUUCCUGACUAGUCACAGAUUCGCCAACUCGCUCCACUCAACUCGCCUGCCCAGAACUCGCUCUCUCCACACUCAGGUGACUCAGUUCUCUCACCACUCAUCCCCUUCUCUUUCUACCCGAAGUUCCCUUUCCCUUUCUUUGCUGGAUUUAAGAUCCCAAAUUGAAAAGCUGUCCAAAUCACGGAAGUCAGAAGCAUUAAGUAAUGAAAUCUUAUCAGAAAAUCGAGGAUUGCCUGAUUCUAUGAGGAUAUUACAUGAAGACCCAAAAUUUGAUUUACUCUUUUACAGGUGGGCCGCCGAGGAAAAUGGAUUUAGGCCAUGUUCAUCAAGUUAUAAUUCACAGCUGAAGUUGUGUGCUAUAAAUGAUGGAAUGAAGGAAUUUUUGGUUGUUGUCAGAAGUUGUAAAAGAAAGGGAACUUAUAUUGGUCAGAAGACAUAUUUAGAUAUUUAUUCGGAUCUUAGGAGAUUGAAAAGGGAUGAUGACGCUGCUGAGUUGCAGCUUUUUUAUGAGAACAUGGUUUUUCAAAAUGCUAUUAAGGGAGUUGCCAAGAUGGUGGCCCAGAAUUUGGAUUGGGGUAGUGAAUUGGAGGGAAAAUUGGGAGAAAUGAGGAUAUGGGUACAGGAGAAUUUUGUUUUAGGAGUAUUGAAGGAGCUUAAGGGAAAAGGUUUGCCUUUGAAGGCUUUGAGCUUCUUUAAAUGGGUUGGGGAGAGUUUGGGGUUUGAGCAUAAUAAUGCUACUUAUAAUCGGAUUCUUAGGAUUCUUUGCACGGAAGAAACGAUUACGGAGUUUUGGAGUAUAUUUGAGGAGAUGAAAGAUGCUGGUUAUGUAAUUGAUAGUGAUACUUAUGUUGAAGUGAUGUUGGAGUUUCAGAAGAGUAAGAUGGUGAAGGACGCGGUUGAGCUUUUUGAGUAUAGGAUGGGUACUCCAUUUAAGUAUUUGGAGGGGGAGUGUGGCUUGCUUUUUAAUGUCAUUUCAUCGACAAUUAAUCCAGACUUGGACCUGAUGUUUAAAGUUGUGAAGAAAUAUGAGGCAGCCGGGUAUUGUUUAUUGAAGAGUGACUAUGAGGGGAUCCAUAGGUGUUUGACUAGUGCUGGGAAGUUUGAUGAAGCAGAGAAGAUCAUCCAGACCAUGAGAAGGGCCGGUUAUAAUCAGUGUAACGUGACAUACAGACAAUUGAUUUUUGGACUUUGUAAAGCAGGGAGGCUAGAGGAAGCCUGUGAAGUAGUAGACAUGAUGGAAGUGCAGGGAUACAUUCCUGAUAUCAAGACUUGGAUCACACUAACAAAAGGGUAUUGUGAUGUUAAUGGAGUUGAUAAGGCACUUCCAUGGUUUGGAAUUUUGGUGAAAAAAGGCUUUGAUGCAUAUGCUGGUCUUUUGGAUUUUCUAGUAUAUGGAUUUCUGAAAGAGAAGAGGGUCAUUGGAGCAUACGAGUUAGUUGUGGAAAUGGUUGGCAAGGCUCACAUGAUACCAUGGCACGCUACAUUUAGGAAUCUGAUUGAAGAGCUUCUCGGAGAGAGGAGACUGGAAGAGGCCUUGAACCUUCUUCGGCUUAUGAUGAAACACGAUUAUCGACCAUAUCGAGAGCCUUUUGUCCAGUAUAUCUCAAAAUUUGGUUCCGUGGAGGAUGCUUGGGAAUUUUUGAUGGCACUAAGUAAAAAAACAUAUCCAUCUGUUUUGGCUUGCCAACGUGUUUUCAAGUCCUUCUUCAAUGAGGGUAGACAUUCUGAGGCCAAGGAGCUUCUUUUAAAGUGCCCUGAUCAUAUUAGCAGACGUCCUGCAAUUUGCAUCCUUUUUGGUUCAUAGAGCAGCAACCUAUAGGCAACUUCAGCCUGAGAUCAUGACUUAGAAGUACGUGUUUAGUUGAUACCUAAAUGUUCAUAAGGUUGUAAUUACAAAGGUACCAUGUGCACUGCUGAACUUUGCAGAGUGUAGAUUAGUAUUGAAAGUUUUCUCUUGCAAUGAGUAGAGGAAUAGUAAUGACUAGGAGCUUGUCUUGGCCAAAACUCCUGAGUCAUGGCUAAGGCCUUUAUUCCUUUUGGCCUUGAAAGACCCUCAGAUAUAUAAUCUAACAUCUAAGUCUUGGGAGGGAUACGAUUGUAUAUACUGCAUCUUUCAAGAAAUGUAUGUGCUUGCUCUAUCUGCAAAUCAUUUUCUUUUCAUGACAUGAUUUGGCAAUGUGCAGAGUCUUCAUGACGAACAUUUCACAGCAUUAUCUGCUUUCCAAACUCUUUAUCUCAGUAUUCGCAUGUCCAGAAGGUUCUCCUCCAUGGUUAUACAUCUUCAUUUGCUGAAUCAUGUUCUCCUACUUUUCUUUUGCAGUGCUCCUUUGCAUUGUAUGUACUUUUCUCCUGCUGUAUUCGCUAAUCUGGCCUCAAAUUUCUUUCACAUUCUGUCCAACAAGUAGAGUAGAAUACUUUGAAAUUGGUGUAUUGGUUAUGUAGUUAUUCUUACAGUCAUUGUUCGCCUUUUUGUUCAUCAUGGCUGGCAGAAAGACUCUUUACCCGGAUGGCCAAAUGGAGUUUUCCAUUAUCUUCUCUGAGAUCAGACACUUAGAAUUUUGGACAGUUACAAAUGAUUCAAUAUCUGUAUCAUAUGAAUUUUGGGGUCUACUAAUGCCUUUUUUUUUUUAUCGCACCAGUUAGAAGUUGGUUGAAACAAAUUAUUUUCUUGUCAUUCCUCAAAAACUGAAGAAUGUGAAUGUUCCUCAAAAUACUAUCAUGGAAUAGUGAAUUGGAAUGUGGGAAGCUCUUAUAUAAUGAAAGAUAGUGGAACUGGCUCUCAAAAUCAAAGGCAAUUAUCUUUGACCAUGUGGAUAACAUUUGAACAAGUAAAGCAUUCGCAAUUGUGAGUCUAAUGACUUGUUCUUAUGAAAAUGAUGAUAAAUCUGGGAAUAAUAGUUACUAUCCAAAUAGUUGAUUUCAGUAAAGAAUUUUCUUUUUCUAGAGGGCUUCAUAACAAAUCACUUGUAUAAAUGUUUGCCUCAGGCAUUGUUUAUGUCAGAGAAGUAUCUUAAUAUAAAUAAAUAAAUAAAACUAAUCAACAUAUAUAUAAGAUAGCAAACUUGUACCAAUUUCUCUUUCAUAAUUCUUCAAGAUAUUUCAUUAAGAAGGUCAUUACCUAUUCCUAAAGCUUUUUUUUUUUUUUUCAAGAACACAUGCAUCAUGAUGAAGUAACUUUAAAUUUGAGACUAUUGGAUUAUAUGGAUCACAUAGGAAAAGAUUGGCAAGGGGUGGCGGGUGCAAAACAAGAAAUAUAAGUUCAGAUGGGGACAAUUUUUAAUUGGCACAAACUUCUCUUGCGUAAAGCCGUAGACUAGCAUGUAGUACCUAAUUUUCCAAAAAAGGCCAUCUGUUUACUUGGAUCCGGAUGCGGGUCUUCCUUACCCGUACCAGGAACCCACUUUCCAACUCCUAAAACCCGCAAAAAAAAAAAAUCCCAUUUCAAGAAAACCUCUGCAAAUGACGGCGGAAGCAACAAUGAAGCAACAAGCCAGGAGACUCCUGAGUUGUCUCCGAUUCGCCAACUCGCUCCACUCAACUCACCUGCUGAGAACUCGCUCUCUCCACACUCAGGUGACUCGGUUCCCUCACUAUUUAUCCCCUUUUCUUUUCACCCGAAGUUCCCAUGACAGUGGUUAUUCGGCUCUUAGAUCCCAGCUUCAAAAGAUGGUAGAAGACAGACAGUCAGAAAGAGUGCUUUUCUCAGAGUUACAGAGAGAAGACAAUGCAAAUUCUCCCUUUUCCCAGUCGGAAACUGCUGGGAAAAGUUGGUUCAGGCCAUGUUCUUCAGGAUGUAGAUUAAAGCUGCAAUCGUGUGCUAUACGUAAUGAUAUGGAGGAGUUUGGGUUGUUGUUGAAAACGUUAGAAAAAGGGGAAAUUAUAUCGAUGAGGAGGCGUUUUUAGUUAUAGAAUCGAAACUUAUUAAGUUGGAUAGGGUUGAUGAUGCUAAGGAGUUGAAGCUUUUUUUUUAUCAAAAAUUGAUUCUUGAAAUUGCUAUUAAGAGAGCUGUGAAUUUGGUGGCCGAGAACUCGGACUGGGGCGGUGAAUUGGAGAGAAAAUUGGGAGAGAAUGGUAUAUCAGUGCAGGAGAAUUUUGUUUUGGGGGUGUUGGAGGGGCUUGGUAAAAAAGGUUUGCCUUUGAAAGCUUUGGGUUUUUUCAAAUGGGUUCGGGGGAGUUUGGGGUUUGAGCAUAAUAAUUUUACUUAUAAUUGGAUUCUUAGGUUUCUUUGCAGGGAAGAGGCGAUUUCGGAGUUUUGGAGUAUGUUCAAGGAGAUGAAAGAUGCUGGUUAUGUAAUUGAUACUGAUACUUAUAUUCAAGUGAUGAGGGAGUUUCGGACGAGGAAGAUGGUGAAGGACGCUGUUGAGCUUUUUGAGCAUAGGAUGAAUAGUCCAUUUCAGUAUUUGCCCAACGACUGUAGUUUGCUUUUGCGUGCCAUUGCAUCGACUGUUGAUCCUGACUUGGAUCUGAUGUCUAGAGUUGUGAAGAAAUACGAAGCUGCUGGGUAUUCUUUAUUGAAGAGGGACUAUGAGGGGAUCCACAGGUGCUUGUUGAGUGCUGGAAAGUUUGAUGAAGCAGAGCAGAUCGUACGGACCAUGAACAGAGCUGGUUAUGAACCAUCUAGUAUCAUCCACAAACAAUUGAUUUUUGGACUUUGUAAAGCAAGAAGGCUAAAAGAAGCCAUUGAAUUACUAGAUGAGAUGGAAGCUCAGGGAUGUGUUCCUGAUGUUGAGACUGGGAUGAUCGAACUACUGAGCUGUUGUUGUGAUAUCGAUGGAGUUGACAAGGCAUUCCUAUGGUUUGGAAAGAUGGUGAAAAAAGGCUUUGAUGCAGAUGCUGGUCUUGUGGAUGUUCUAGUCAAUGGAUUUCUGAAAGAGAAGAGGGUCAUUGAAGGAUACCAGUUUCUUGUGGAACUGGUUGACAAGGCUCGUGUGGCACCAAAGCAUGCUACACUUAAGAGUCUGAUUGAAGAGCUUCUUGUCUCCUGGAAGAAGCUUUGAACCUUCUACAGCUAAUAAAGAAACGGAAUUAUAAACCGGAUCCAGAGCCUUUCAUCCAGUAUCUGUCGAAGUUUGGUUCUGUGGAGGAUGCUUGGGUGUUUUUGAGGGCACUAAGUCACAGGCAGGGUAAAAACCAUGUAUCUGUCUUCGGUUGCAAACGUGUUUUUCAGACCUUCUUGAAUGAGGGUAGACAUUCUGAGGCUGAGGAGCUGUUUCGUAAGUGCCCUAAGUAUAUUCGCAGAAAUCCUGAAUUUCGCAUCCAUUUUUCUUCUUCAAGGAGCAGCGACGUGGUAGCAGCUUCAGCUUGAGAUCAUGAUGGAGUCAUGCAUUCCUUAGUAUUUAUCAUGGAAAGGCUUACUGAUGUUGUUUCUCCUCACUAGUCAAAAGAUGGUUGGUUGGUUGGAACAGAUUAUUUUCCUGUCAACUACACCUUCUUCCUUUUUUCAUUUUGUCGGUUAAGUUGUUCAAUGCAAUCAUUUAAAUUUGGCUUGUUUGGAUAGUCAUUUUCUAUCGAAAAAUGACCUUAUUUUCCGUGAACACAUUUUCCUAUCAUCUUUUUACCUCACAUACAUCAAAUCGCUACAGUAAUUUUUCAACGAAAAAUCCAUGAAAAAUGCAAUCGAAACGCAAAGUUUUUGAGUGAGAUCAGAUGUAACUUCGAAAAUUUUGAGGAUUCUAUAGGAUUUAUGUUUCUAAGCUAGAAAGGAAGACGCAGUUUACUAAUUCUUAGUUGGAAAAGAGCCCGCGUUUAGACUUUUAUUGAUUGGGAGGUCCAUACAAAUGAAAUGAUCAAUUAGUGGAGAAAAUUUUUGCGAAUGUCCAUCAAAGUUUGAGCAAAAAGUUAUGGUUAUACAAUACUGCAAACUCAUCGCUACUGAAUCUAUGGCAGCUAAAAUGCUAGAAUACCAGACUUGCUCCAUUUGUUUUAUCUUUUUUAAUCUUUCAGAGAUGAAAAUUUUGAGGUUCUUGAGUGAGAGUAUUAACUCGGAGAAAGUUACUGAAACAAGAAUCAUUACACUGAGAAUAGUGUAAAACAAGAACUUCCUUUCAAAUGUGAUCCCCAUCUCAUGAGUACAGUUACUGAUCCGGACCUUUUGCAGUCACCAGUACAAUUUAGAUAGGCAUUAGCAAAACACUAUACAACAAAAGUAGAAUACAAUUUGACACACUUUUUGAAGUUGUAUCACAAAAUUAAUCAUAUCUAUUCAAUUUCAAAUUAAAAUCAUCCCUAUCAUCAACUGCACCCUACAAUCUACACUGUGAUUAUAGUAGGAGCCCCUCUUCCAUUUGAAUUCGAGCUUGAACUGUGUAAUUCGAAUGUGUAUUGUGGAUAUCACACCACACUCCAAAUGAUAAAGGAUAGGUUUAGGUGGAAAUUUUGGAUGUGAAUUCUGCAAUUUGAAAAAAAAAUGACUUUUUACAGUGACAAAUGUUUGAGUGGAGAGGGCAAGGACAUUGCCUCAAGGUGGUAAAAAACACCCUCUUCCUAUGGCAUUUUUUUUUUUUUUUCCGAAAUGAUAAGUGAUUUUAUAGAUUAUCAAAAGUUUUAUAAUUUCAAAUAAGGACUCGAUAGAACUAUACAAUUAGUGUACUUCGAUACUAAAGAAUCCAAAGUUCCUCAUCUUGAUUUGUAUCUAGAGCAUAUGAGCUAAUUCUAUUACUAAUAUGAUUAUGAUCCUUGCUGACUAGACAAAAUGAGCACAAUUGAAACAACAACUUUAAAUGAAGAAUGCCUUCCAACAAGGUAAUCUCUUCCCAUGGCAUAUGUUAGGUUGAAUCCUAGUUUUGUCAUUGAAACAACCAAAUCCUCUCUUAAAGUAUCAAUUGAUGAACUCAAAAUGUAAAACCAAAAAGGGGGAGCAAAAUUCACAUUGAUGAGUGUAAUGACCACUUUUCGCAACAAAAAAAAAAGGUUUGAUAUCGAUAGUUAUUGUCUAAAUCAUUAAUAGUUUGACAUCAAUAGUUUGAUACUAGGUCUGAGAAAAGAAAAUUCUUUUGUGGUGGGGCUUGAAAAAAAUCAUUUGCAUGUCACAACUAGAAAUAAUGCAUAACUAUGAAAAUUUGCUAAGUAGUCUAACUGAUGUGCUUACCGUUGAACUUAAUUUCCCAAAAAGCCCUUGUCUAUUCACUUGGAUCCGGGUCCGGGGACUUCCUUACCAGUACCGCGAUCCCACUUCGCAACCUCUUAAACCCUCAAUAAAAUCCCUUUUCAAGAAAUUCUCUGCAUAUUAAGCAACCAUGAAGCAUCAAGCCAAGAGACUCCUGAGUUGUCUCCGAGUCGCCAACUCGCUCCACUCAACUCACCUGCUCAGGACUCGCUCUCGCCACACUCAGGUGACUGGGUUCCCUCACCACUCAUCCCCAUUUUUUCCCACCAAAAUUUUCUAUCCAGUUUCUUCUUUGCAUGAAUCCCAUCAUAGAAAACUGUUCUUUUCAACAAAAUCAGAGCCAAUUUUUGAUGAAUUAUUAUCCAAGGAUUGGGCUAAAGGGUUAG